rnacentral:rRNA from 1 species
CCGUGGCGGGCGCUAUAAUGCAGUCGAGCGAGAAGGUGUAGCAAUACACUUGUAAAGCGGCGAACGGGUGAGGAAUGCAUGGGUAACCUACCCUCGAGUGGGGAAUAACUAGCCGAAAGGUUAGCUAAUACCGCAUACGUUUCCGGGACUUCGGUACCGGAAAGAAAGCAAUACCGUGGGUAUUGCGCUCAUGGAUGGGCUCAUGUCCUAUCAGCUUGUUGGUGAGGUAACGGCUCACCAAGGCUUCGACGGGUAGCUGGUCUGAGAGGACGAUCAGCCACACUGGCACUGCGACACGGGCCAGACUCCUACGGGAGGCAGCAGUAAGGAAUAUUGCGCAAUGGACGAAAGUCUGACGCAGCGACGCCGCGUGGGGGAUGAAGGUCUUCGGAUUGUAAACCCCUUUCGGGAGGGAAGAUGGAGUGGGUAACCACUUGGACGGUACCUCCAGAAGCAGCCACGGCUAACUUCGUGCCAGCAGCCGCGGUAAUACGAAGGUGGCAAGCGUUGUUCGGAUUCACUGGGCGUACAGGGAGCGUAGGCGGUUGGGUAAGCCCUCCGUGAAAUCUCCGGGCCUAACCCGGAAAGUGCAGAGGGGACUGCUCAGCUAGAGGAUGGGAGAGGAGCGCGGAAUUCCCGGUGUAGCGGUGAAAUGCGUAGAGAUCGGGAGGAAGGCCGGUGGCGAAGGCGGCGCUCUGGAACAUUUCUGACGCUGAGGCUCGAAAGCGUGGGGAGCAAACAGGAUUAGAUACCCUGGUAGUCCACGCCUUAAACUAUGGAUACUAAGUGUCGGCGGUUUACCGCCCGGUGCCGCAGCUAACGCAAUAAGUAUCCCGCCUGGGAAGUACGGCCGCAAGGUUGAAACUCAAAAGGAAUUGACGG